rnacentral:misc_RNA from 1 species
GUGCGACUCAAUCGCACGUGCCUCUUUCUUUAGCUUCGCGGUUCUCUCCCCCUCUUGCUUGAUAUUCGCUUCGAGGUCACAUUCGUGCUUGUCUGCGAGAGAGUCCUGCCCGGGGUGCUUUCAUGGUGUGUCCCAUUUCCCAGCCACCACCACCACCACCACCCACACCCACACCCACACCCCAUCGCUAUCCUUUCCUCCUCAUUGUUUUGUUGUUGCUACUCUUCCUUUCAGUGCCGGUGUCUGCGCUGUUCUUUCCUUGAUUGUUGCAUGCACGGACGACAAAUUCCUUUACACACACGCAAAUCGUAAAGGAUCCCGAAAGCACGCACCGCAAGGACGAUGCAGACGCAAGCGCACAAGGAUGUGGUGAAGAACAUCGCCACGGCCUCACAGCUGGAAGGCGAGCUCCAGCUCUCGGAGGCCCAGCACGGUGUGGCGGUGCUGGAUGUGUACAACGCAGAGUGGGGUCACUGCAAAGCGCUCAGUGACACCUUCCGCCGUCUCUUCACCGACGCCGGCGACCUGGUCCACCUGCGGUUCUUCUCGGUGGAGUGCAAUGCGGUGCUGGAGAGCCUCAAGGACCCAGAUGAGAUGAAGCCCCAUCAUCCUCAGCAGAAGGGGAUGGUGUUCUCCAAGGACACCCUCGUCAGCUUCUGGAGAGAGAUGCUCGAGAAGCGCCAGAAUCACUCGAAGCCGUUCUUCGCCUUCUACAAGGAAGGCAGGAUGCGAGCACAGCUGGAGGGUAUAGACACCCCGAAGAUCUGCCGCAUCGUGCGUGAUCUGUGCAAUCAGCAGAACACUGUCUCCGAGUACGUCACGAACGCUGAUGUGCUGCGGUUUUGGGAGUCGCACUUCUCCCUAUCGGAGAACGAGGUGGCCGCGAGCGAGUUCGCGCAUGCGGUGCAAGCGGUGCUCGGCGCCUCGGCGGCGGAGCUGUCGGAGGCGGACUUGGCUGACAUCACGGCCGAGGUGCAGAGCACCAGUGGGGCCACAGUGUCAGCCGCCGACCUGCAGUCAUUCGUCGGCGAUAGCGGGAGGGUGAAGGAUGCGAUUUUGGCCGUCGUCGCAAAAAAGCGGGCGAUGGCCACAGCAACUGCAGCUGCACCGCCACCUCCGCCGGCAGAAGAGCUGCAGCCAACAGAAUCAGAGGAGAAAGGUGCGGACGAGGAUCCGCGGGCGUCGCUUCAAAGGCCGUCGUCCGCUGAGUCCGGUGAGGCGGUGGAGGAAGCGGCGGCAGGCGACGAAGAGGCUGAGGUCGGUGGGGAAGAAGUGGACGUGGACGCAGACGCAGCGCAGGAGACCUUACCCGCCGGGGAAGAUACCGCCGAAGCGGCUUCAUCGGUGCACGGCGCGCCGUCGCACAAUGACGAGCAAAAAGAAGAGCUGCCCAAGACGGUCACGGAUGGGGCUGACGAAGAGCCUGUUGUCGAGCCGCCCGCCGUCGAUGCGGCGGAGGCGGAUGAGGCAGGCGCAGAUACCCAUGAGCUCGGCGAACCCGCAGUGGCUAACCCAGUGGAGCAGCAAGCGAUGCAGCAGCCUGAAGGCAAUGAAGCUGACAGCGCCUACGAGGAGCUGCCGGGGCAGCAGGCUGCAGCAGAUGCAGAGUCCCCCACGCCGUCACCAAGCCUGCCUGCAGAGGAGCAUGGCGAAAGCGGUGUGGGAGAGGCUUCGGGCGCGCCGGCUGAUGAGGCUCGCACAGAGGACGACACGCAGGCGUUACCCGGCGCAGCCGAGAAUGACAACCAGCACGAGGAGCUCCAGGAAGAUGCGCGCCCGCCGUCCUCAGCACCGCAGCCACCUAUGGACACCAUGGAGCCAGAGGACGGCGACGACGAAGAGCUUGGCGAAGCGCCGUCGUCUGCGCCGCCGGCCGACACUGUCAACACCACCGGUGACCAGGACGAGUCCGUCGUCAAUCAGAUCUUCACGAAUCGCUGGGUAACGGUGACAGAGGAGGAGAUGCACGUGUGGAACACGGUGGCAGCGUUGCCGCUCCACUAUCCCCAGAGCACGACGAUGAUGGCGGAUCUGACGAACAACACGACGCCGGUGCACGAGGCAUUGUCGACGACGGCAGACCUCCCGACGCUGGCGGAGUAUCUGACAGCGCAAGGAGUGCCUUACUCCGACAUCAAUAUGAUGUGCAUCGCAGCAGAUCAGAAGGUGGCUUCGGAGAGCCUGUCGUACGGCAAGCUGUCGCUGCUACUCAUCUCCUGUGACCCGGAGGAGGGAAAGGGCCUGGUGCCGCACUGUGAGACGUUCCUGAAGGAGCUGUCGGACGGCACCCUUCUCAAGCAUCAGCAGCCGCUUGCCUUCACCGCCCUUGCGCUGAGUGCCUCCGUGGCCUACCCGGACGAGUGCUUCUGCUACUGUGUUCCCGAGACUGCGGUAGCAGCCUUCCAGGAGCUCGCCGUGGACGACAUCUUCAUCCUGAAUGCACUGACGCCGCUCAAGACAACCGUGCCGCAGGACGGACAGUUUAUCCUGCGCAUCAUCGGCCUGCCCAAGGUGAUCGAGCUCGCCACGACGGAUGAGAACGAGGACACAAUGGUGCUGAGUCAGUGGUACGCACGCUUGCGGGUAGCCGAGCAGGGCGCCGGUGCCCUCACCGCGCACUUCGUGGAGAACGUGUGCGAUGAUGAGUUCCAGGACUUCCUCUUCGGCUACAUUGAGCGCCUCAUCGAGGAUGAGAACCGGCUGGACAAGAAGCACGGCGACGAGGAAAAAAGCGCCGAGGGCGAUUUCAACGAUGAGGAGCUGGACGACGGCAAGUCCGCCGAAGUCGCCACACCCGAGCCCGAGGAUGUGCUUUAGAGGAGACAAUGUUGUGCGCUGUCCACGUCAGUCAUAUCCUCAACCCCGAUCAACGACGUCAAGGACAGCCACCUCAUCCAAAGAGGGCAACAGAGAACCACGUAGAGCACGAUGUAUAUACCGCGUGAUCGCUUCGCUUUUUUGUUUUUGGUUGAAUCGCUUCAGCUGAUUCCAUUUUGGGUGUGCAUGAGUGUGUGUCUUUGGGCGCGAUGUACGCAAGGAAGAAAGAGGAAGUGCACGCUACCGUUGUUUUUCGUUUCUGUCCUUUGCUUUGCCUGUGUGGCUGCAUUGGGUUGCUAGCAGCCUCAAGCACGCACGCACUGCGCUCUCCCGUGUCUCUGCAAGGAUGCAGGAGAGAGUUG